GAUGAACGCUGGCGGCGUGCCUAAUACAUGCAAGUCGAGCGAACGGACGAGAAGCUUGCUUCUCUGAUGUUAGCGGCGGACGGGUGAGUAACACGUGGAUAACCUACCUAUAAGACUGGGAUAACUUCGGGAAACCGGAGCUAAUACCGGAUAAUAUUUUGAACCGCAUGGUUCAAAAGUAAAAGACGGUCUUGCUGUCACUUAUAGAUGGAUCCGCGCUGCAUUAGCUAGUUGGUAAGGUAACGGCUUACCAAGGCAACGAUGCAUAGCCGACCUGAGAGGGUGAUCGGCCAAAAUGGAACUGAGACACGGUCCAGACUCCUACGGGAGGCAGCAGUAGGGAAUCUUCCGCAAAGGGCGAAAGCCUGACGGAGCAACGCCGCGUGAGUGAUGAAGGUCUUCGGAUCGUAAAACUCUGUUAUUAGGGAAGAACAUAUGUGUAAGUAACUGUGCACAUCUUGACGGUACCUAAUCAGAAAGCCACGGCUAACUACGUG
rnacentral:rRNA from 1 species